AGGGGGCACACGGAGUUGAACCAUGGACCUAUCGAUCUGCAGUCGAUUGCUCUACCACUGAGCUAUACCCCC
rnacentral:tRNA from 1 species